GCCGCUACUUGAGGCAUUGGUGGGGCUUGGCACCGGUCAUGACGAUAAAGUCGUCUAUCAUCUCCUCCUCCUUUGAUAGCGAGAGGCUGAACUCCACCAGUCUCACCUUCUUCGCCAUCUUCUCGUCGCCCUUAGCACCUCCUGUGGACCUCAAAGAUUUCAUGACGGGAUCAGAGAUCGGCCUCCCAAUCUCCACUAUAGUCAGGCUACUACACGGCAUCAUCGUCUCCCGGCAACGAUCUUGUCACUCCUGCUGGCUACUGUUCAUGGCUUCGCCUCAUCGACUCCCCCCUUCGUCGCGUCCCCCUCCUCCCCCACCUCCAUAACAUCAUGGGCAAUCGACUACUGAUCGGGAGCAAACCAAAUGAAAAUCGAAGGAUGGAGGAGAAGUCCAAGGCAGAGAGGAAGUGAAGAAGGAGGGAACAGCCGGUGGCGGCACCGAAGGAAGGGGAGAGG
rnacentral:lncRNA from 1 species